UUGAGUCUCAAUCGUGUGGACAUCAUUGGGAAUGGAGGGAAAUAACUGACUGUAUGGUCGUUGCUUUUUAAGUUUCAAACUGACAUUCCAGGCGGGCUGUGCCUGAGUCAGCAUCUGCUUUCACAUCUUCACAGCCUGGUCCUGGGAAGGUGGAGCCCUCAGCUUCUCCCUGGUGAGAGAGAUGCUCCUGAAGCAGCAACCUGAGAGGGCGGAUGCUUAAGGGAGCACACACAUCUGGAGCAGUAUCUAGCGGAUGGGAUGAGCUCAACAAAUGAUGGCCAAGAGGACCCGGCUGUGUUCGGGGCAGCCCUGGGGGAGGCUCGCACUCUGCUGACGGAUUAGCUAAAGGCUGAAACUUUCUGAACCACGGAACAACUGGGAGAUUAAACAGGAAGCUUUAUGACACACUUGCUCGAAAAUGACACAGGCACCGAAAAACCAGGACUCAGCCCCCUGCAGCACCUCUACCUGCUGCCCACAGCCGAGUGCAGGGGAAGGGCUGGCCCUGGGACCUGACUCCAUCUGCCAUGGACUCUAAGGGCCUCCACAUUCAGUGAUGAUGUCUCUGCGAUAUUGUGGUUAUGGUCUAGUCUGGUCGGUUUCUUAGUAUCUGGCCAGUCUCUGUGUGUCUUCAUCCCUUUUCCUUCAUUAAAAGCAUAACUAAAGAAAAA